rnacentral:rRNA from 1 species
UACGUAGGGUGCAAGCGUUGCCCGGAUUUAUUGGGCGUAAAGGGCGCGUAGGCGGCUCGGCACGUCCGUUGUGAAAUCGCCCGGCUCAACUGGGCGGGGUCAGCGGAUACGGCCGAGCUUGAGCAAGCUAGGGGGCAAUGGAAUUCUCGGUGUAGCGGUGAAAUGCGUAGAUAUCGAGAGGAACACCUGCGGCGAAGGCGGGUUGCUGGGCUGAUACUGACGCUGAGGCGCGAAAGCCAGGGGAGCGAACGGG